rnacentral:lncRNA from 1 species
AGUAUUGGUGGGGGGUGUAAACUGCUACAGCAACUAUGGAAACCGAUGUGGUAGUUUCUUAAAAGCUAAAAGUACAAGUAUGAUAUGAUCCAGCUACAUCAUUUCUGGGUGUGAACCCAAAGGACUCUAUCCCACCCUAGAAAUACACAUCUUUAUUCAUUGCUGUUCUGUUCAGAAGGAAAUAGAACCACCUUAAAUGUCUGUCAGCAGAUGAGUAGAUAAUGACAGUGUGGUGCAUGCACACACACAAUAUUAGUCAUCCAUCAACAAAAGUGAAAUUUGCAGUAAAAUGGGUGGAACCAGAAAAUGGUACACUAAGAGAGGUCACUCAAACUCAGAGAGACAAGCACUACGUGUGUCACACACAGAUCCUAGCUUGUAAAUUUAAUGUGUUUAUUGAUGGAGAAGAUGCCAGAAAGCUAGAAAGGAGCAGUGAGAGAAGACAAAAGAGGCCUCAAGAAGGGAGAUGGAGAGUAAGAGAACAGAAGGGAGACUCUGCAGAAUCCAGGGUACAGGCAGAGAACACAGGCAAGAGAUGCACAGGAAAAAAAAAAAAAGAGAGAG